CGUUAUCAGGGYUUAAUUGCAUUGUCGCAGAACACGAAAACAACAGUUCCACAGUGCCGAAAGAGUUYGAGGAUCUCAACSAAGUUAUAAAGCCAUAAAAGCCUGAUGCGAAUGCAAAAUUAAAGUGAACCAAGAUGAAUACAAAUCAAGCCGUAGCUGUUUUCGCUGUACUGUCUCUUCUGAUUUUAUGCACUUUCUCUACUACGCAUGCUCGAAGUAGCGAUGGRUUUUUGAAGGAUUUUCUUAAUAACGAUGAAGAGGAUCAACUUCUCAAAAGACAACAGCGACUACGACUCCCAUGUGGRUUGACCUUGAGAUGCGGAAGAAGAAGACGAAUGAGAUCAAGGAAAGGCGAUUCUGUUCCUAUACCGCCGGAGUAUUCUAACAGUAUGGAAUAGCACCAAACAACAUACCAAAAUCAAAAAUACAACAUCGUCAAAUGAACAAAAUAAACAUAUUUUUGAUCAACA